AAACUAGGAUUAGAUACCCUUUUAUUUAUUAUUAAAAUUUUUUAUUUAAUAAAUAUUUUAUAAUAAAAAAAUUAAUUAAAAUGGCAGUAUAUUAUAAAAUUAGAGGAUUUUGUUAUAUAAUAGAUAUUACACUUUAAAAUUUAUUUAAUUUUUUUUGUUAUAUAUUGUAUAUUGUUGUAUUAAACUGAUAUUUUAAAAAUUAUUAGUAUUAUUUUUAAAAAAAAAUAAAUUCAAAUCAACAUACAUACCAUAAUUAAAAUUUAAAUGAAAUACAAUUAAAUCUAUUAAUGAAUAAUAAAUUGUAAAAUUUAUUUAAAAUUGGAUUUAAUAGUAAAAAUUUAAUAAAUUUUUUAUUUGAAUUAAAUUAAUAUAUGUACAUAUUGCCCGUCGUUUUUAAUU
rnacentral:rRNA from 1 species